AAUCCCAACGGCUGAGAUCACUCCAACUCACUCUUCUCUUUUAAAUCAUACCAAAAACCCUAAACUCCCCAUUUCUCCAAAAUGCUGCCUCCCUCAAGCUCCGUCUCUCUCCCCAACGCGCUCUCUCUCUCAGACCAAGGGCGGCGUCACCGCUACCAUGACGUCGUCCCCCUCACCUCCAACCACCUCUCUGUCAGUGCGAAGGCAGCAACGACCAAAUGACCCCAUCGCUGCCAUCGUCCCUCCUCCUCCGGCGAUGAACCAGCCUCUCUUGCCACGUGAAACCAUCGCCUAGACCCCCCUCCACCACAGCACCAGUGCGCCUCCUCCACACCAUCAUCCGCUUUGAAUCCGACUCCAGAACCGUCAACCUUUCCUCUCCAUCGUCACCGAUCCAUUCUUUGAAAAUAACGGGUUCUCGAGAACCCGUCCACAGGUUUGAUUAUUUUUUUUUUUAAUUUCUCCUACUCCUUUCCCCUUUUAUUUUCCCUUAACAGAAAUCAAUGAAGGUCGACUAAUAGUUUUCGUUUAAACUAUCAUCCGGUGCAUACUUAGUUGUCCUUAAAAAGUUGCUACGAUGUUUUGAUAGCUGUGACAAAUUUUUGGUUACACAUUGGAAUUUAAUUUGAUUAUCCUUAUGUGAUAAAUGGAUGAAUUUUUUUGUGGCCUGGCUUUCCUUUCUCUCGGUAGUUUGGGCAUAACUCUAAUUUUGUGAUUGAUUAUCUAAAUUGUGACAGGAUUGACGUCUUAUCUUUAUGGUAAAGAGAUGUUCGAUCGCACAUUAAUUUGGGGGAUUGAUUUUGCGUAUAGUUAGAUGUCUGGUUUUAAUUUGGUAAAGAAUGUCUGAUUGCGUAGAUUUCCUAUAAUUUGAUUAUUUUCCACGGAUUUAAAUUAGUAAACAUGUCUCUUGUGCAUAGCAUAUGUAUUAUUCUUAUUUUUUUUCACAAUUAUUUAUAGUAAAAUUAAUGUUGAUUGAAUGAAUCUCUCUUGACCGAUAAGGCUGUUAUAUAUGGUAAAUGCAUAUUUAUAUGCCUUUUUAUUUAUGUUAUACAUCUUUUACUUAUUUAUAUAAGGCAAAUAUUAUUCCCAAUUGAUUUUAGUCUGGUCGAUUAAGGUUGUUGAAGGAUUCCCUUAACCUUUUCUUUCCUUUUAUCAUGUGAUCGAAUUUUGCAUAAUUAAUUUUAUUACCUUUUUUUAAGGAAAAGACAUUCUUGAUUGAUCCAUCAAAAUAUUUUCUUUCCUUUUACUUUCCAGGUUCCCUCCACUAUAUAAACAGACCCCUCUCUUCUCAUUAAGGACGGCUCUCAAGUUUCACACUUGCAAUUACAAUUACUACUACACUCUUAAAAAAAUCAUUGGUUGUUCUCAAGUGCUUUUGGUUCUCUUUCAAGGCUGCUGAAAACAUCUCCCAUAUUGUGUUAUUAUGUGUGCUUGGCUUUCAUUACUUUUUUUAUUCUCUCCUUACUGCUAUUCACUGGUGAGUUCUCAAACGACGCAAUUACUUUAUUCUCGAUGUGUGUUGACUGCAUAAUGUUGUGAAGGACUUUAGAAGCAUGACUGUAGGAAUAUCUCAGCCUUUGUUCGUGUUCUGAAAUGCCUUGCAAGUCUAAAUACACUUACAAGUUUCUAAGAGUCGCCGGGACAUUUAAUUAACUAUGUACUCUUGAUAGUUUUUUAUUGUUCUUCUUGAUUUUCGUAUUUUGGUUUGUAAUAUUAUUGUAAAGACACUACUAUUAAUGAUGUAAUAAUAAUUGGGGGACUGCUUUGGGGGGCCGGGAUUACAUGCUCUAUGCACGAAGUAGUAGGCACAAUUUAGGUCUUUACGUGUCUUAUAUGCUAUAUGAAACACUUAGGCAAAAACGUGAUUUAAUUUACUUACUUGGCCUCUUAGAAAUCCUGCUUUAGGAAUUUUAAUUAAUUUUGACAUAUUGAAUUAAGUUUUGGCAACAUGAAAAUCGGUAAAUACUAUUUACUACGUAUUUUUAGAAUCAAAGUCAUUUUUCAUCAUAUUUUAGACAUAUUCUCACAUAUUAACAUGUUAAAGAAUACGUUAAUACAUCCUAGCAUAUUUGACAUAAAACAUAUUACUAUAUUAUUUGACAUCAAGCACAAUAGUACAUUAUUCGACAUUGAGCAUAACAGCAUAUUAAUAUAUUUGGUAACUUAUUAAAUACUAGGCAUGUUUAUAAGUUUAAUUAAUUUUACAACAUGUCUAAUUCAUAUUUCAGCAUGUCUAAUUAAUCUUUUAGCAUGUCUAAUUAAUUCUUUCACGGGUUUAAUACAAUUUUCAGCAUGUUUAAUACAAUUUUCAGCAUGUUUUAUCACAAUUUUCAGCAUGUUUAACAAUAUGUUCAGCAUGUUUAAUUAAUUUUACAGCUUGUUUAAUUAAUUCUUACACAUGAUUAGUCAAUGUUCAGCAUGUUUGAUUAAUUUUACAGCAUAUCUAAUUAAUUCUUUCCCAUGAUUAAUCAAUGUUCACCAUGUCUAAUUAACUUUCAAGCAUGUCUAAUAAAUUUUUUCAGCAUGAUUAAUCAAUUUUUAGCAUGUUUAAUUAAAUGGUUAGAAUGUUUGAUUAAUUUUUGGGCAUGUUCAACAUAACCUUCAGCAUGUUCGAUAACGUUUAAAUAUAAUAUCAAAAUGUUAGUUUUUAGCCAUCUUUAGUAUGUUGGUAAAUAUUUAGCAUGUCACAAUGAAAUUCCUGCAAUAAUACAAUUUCUGUCACAUAUUAAAAGACAUAUUUUGAGCACCUUUUGAUAUGCCUAAACACUAAAAUAAGUAUAUUAUGGAAUUCUUAAUAUGUUAACAUCUUUAAAUAUUCUUGUUGAUUUCUUAUGUUCUCAUUUAUAUUUACAACACUUAAUUAACAAGCACAUUUUUGUUUGACAUAUUUACCACACUUUUAACACCUUUUAUGAACACACAUAAGGUUGUUGCAUACACGAAUCACAGUCUUUUAUCACGAAUCGUUGAUCAUUUAGCAUUAUGACUAUAGGUUAAUGAUAAUAAAAUUUGCUUGUCUUUGCGUGUCAUCACACUAAUUAACAUUAACUGAUCAAGAGGCUAACUUGGGAUUAUUACGUGCUACCUGUGUCCAAUAUGUUCGCGCUUCGAGUCCUAGGCAACAUAGUUUUCUUUUAGUCUAGAACACAAAUCCAAUAUAGCAAAGUGCAAUGCCUCUUGUACAAUAGUCGGGAUGUUAAAUAUUACUUAAAACGUUAGUUUUGUCCUUGUCAUACAACGCCCUUAGAUUUGACAUCCAGCCUAGGUAGGGUGGGACGGGUUGUCCUUUUCAGAAAUGAUGAUCCCAACAAAUAUUAACGGUGAGACUAAUGACAUUAUUACUUAUCUAAGAGUUCAGUCUUUGGGUCGGAUGAUGACUAAUAAGUUGGGUUUCUGAUCCGAAAAAAAUCAAAACAUCUCUUUGUUUGACUCGGAUGAUUUCUUUUAGUCUUUUUAUGUAUUUUACAUGUUUAUUUGGGGUACCUAGUUUAUUAUAAAGCAGUCCCCUUUUUAUUAUAUGUCAUUUGUUUCUCCUCUCUUAUCUUAUUUCUAUAUUUUUUAUUUAUUUUAUCACCUAGAUAAUCGAUAAUUAGCAUUAACAAAUGACAUGUGUUUGCUUAUUAAUUAUCUUAUUCCUUAGCUGAACAUUAAAUUAAUAAUAAAAUAUGAAUUUAUUUGAUCACGUAGAAUCUCCAUGUAAAGUAUGAAUUCGGCCGGGAACCACCUUUGUGGACCUCGAAAGGUGCCUAACACCUUCCUUUUAAGGUAAUUUGAAUCAUUAUCAGAACUCUGGUGAACUAAGACUAAAUAACAAAAUAGGUUCGUAGUAUCCUAGACCGGUGCCCCAACACACCUUAAUACGUUUGGUGGUGACUCUCACACCCUUCCUUUCAGACGCAAUCCCAAGAGAGUUCAUCGAGUCGAAUCCCACCUUCUACGAGGAAAAUGGGGCGCGACAGAAUGGCUACUCUGCUAGGGAACUUGUAAGGUUCUAACCAUUAUGAAUUUAUGCUUUAUGUGGGAUUCUCUCUAUAUGCUUUCGUUUGUUAUUUUUUGACAUGAUUUAUUUUCAUAGGUUCUCUUUUUCUAUUUUUUGUGUUAUUCAUGUGUCCCAUGUCUACAUGUUCUUUUAUUGGUAAUUAAUUUACACAUGUUAUUCCAUUGUCCUUCCCCUUCUUUUGUGUAUUAUUCAUGUUUCUCCAUGCCUGCUUUUUAACUGGUUAAUUUACGCAUGUUAAUCCCUUUUCCUUCCCCCUUUUAUGUGAUAUUCGCAUUCUCUCCAUGCUUGAUUAUUCUUGGUUAUAUACUUUAAUGUUUAUUUUUCAUAUUGCUACAGUAUGCCCUUGUUUGUUGCUAUGUGCUAUGUGUUACUGCUUUAUAUAUAUGGCAUUCCGCUCAUACUCUUUUCCAAUUGGAAACCUCUUUUAUUUUCUCUUAGAAACGGUUACGUGAAUACACGGACGUUCAUUCCUAAAAGACCCUUUGGGAAAUAUCUUGUGGAUCAGUCGACCAGCGGUGCGUUGACAGCCACAAGCAUUUCCCACUCCCAAGUUGUCCACUUAGGGGGACCAUGUCAAAAUCACUCUUAUUCCUAGAGCUAAACCGUUUAUCCCUUUAUUAAGGAAUGAACAUCCCAAAAUCCUAGGAUGUCAUGCUACAAAACUUGGCCCUAAGUUCUAAGGGAUCCCAUGAUCCCGAAAUGACCGCCUCACUAUUAUGUGCAUUUUGAGAGACAAUUAUGCCAAAAUAAUCCCAGUUACUCUUUGGGGGUAGGGUAGACUAACACUUUGUUUUGCAGAUUUGAUGGUCAUCCCAACUUCAUACCCCAGAUUUAGCAUGGUUUGGUGCAUGCCUCCGCACAUGGAACAUUGAUGGUCAGACUUGGGGUACUUUGCAUGAAGCAAGGUCGAACAAGCACUAGGAAGUUUGCCCUCCCUCAUAAACAUCAAUCCUUGUAGAGAACUCAUUUAAGCGGCCACUGCAUCCUGGGAUGAAACGAGAUCGGUAUUCAGGUUUGGUAAUGUGGAGAUGAACCAUUUUUGGAAGAAAUUAGGGGAUACGUGGAAAAUAAGAUGUUUCCAAGAGCGAUGAGAUGGCAACAAGCUGAGGUCAUCAUCCCCAAAAGUGUCACUCUAGAGGAAGCGAACAACAAACUGGGUCUCCAUGGCAGCCGACUAGUAGCCUAUGUGAUGAGGUCAAAAAUUCCCGCUAGAUAUUUAGCCAACAGAUUUGCCUACCAGCAAGGGAAAGAGAUAUAUGUAGUAGAGAGAUCUGACCCUGCUUCUUGGGAAGAUAAAUGAAUUAUUGGAUUCAUCGCUUACUUCCUAGGAACGGUGGUCUUUCCAAUCAGAGCGAAAGAAGUUAUGCACACUACCGUAGCUGACGCAUUAUGCAAUGGGAUUAAUAGGAGGCCUUACAUAGUCGUAGCCAUGAUAGUGGUAGACACCUACAAGUCUCUUGGAAGAUGCAAAAAUGGGGCCAAACAUUUUGAGGGAUGCAACUUGUUGCUGCAGUUAUGGUUGAUCGAACAUCUCCAGAAAAUUCAUGGUCUACAAAGCAUGCUAAGGUCGUUUGGAAUCAACAACAUCUCUUCCCAUGAUACCUGAGUCAUGUUGGGAGUCACAAAGAUUAAGCGGCCGACCGAGACAGAAAAAUGGGGGCAAAUAUUGUGCACUCUGACGGAAGACUCCGUGUAAUGGAUGUUUGAAUGGUUUCCUAGAAUGGACUUUGUGAUGUACCAACAACACUACAUUUACUUGGUUUUGAUCGGACUUUACGGGCUACAACCAUAUGCACGUGCUAGAGUAAUGAGGCAAGCAGGAAGAAAACAAAUAAUCCUAAAGGUUGCCGACAUGGACGCACACCGAAUAGACUAUGAAAAUGAUAAAAUCCCAAAUGCCAUCUAACUGGCCAAAGCUUGGAGAGGAAAGACUCAUCUUGACAAGGGGAGUAUUGCGGCAGAUAGAUACAACCCAAGCUAUACAGUAAGAUAUAUUAAGUGGUUGUAUGCCGAUUGGAAAAAUAAGGUAACCCCGGGCAUUAAAAGAGGUAGACAUGUUAAUGACAAGGAGGUUGAAGCACAAGUCCUCUAUCGUAAAUUCAAGAAGAGAGCUUUAGCAUCUGAGGCAUGCUAUCACCACAUUAUUGCCGAAAAUGCCAAAGAAAUGGCCAGCAUGGGGAAACAACUGGAGUUGUGGACGCAUCGUACUUUGACAAUAGAAAGAAAGGUGAUAUAACUACGAGAUGAAUUCUACAAAUAAGGACAAGAAUGCACUAAUAUGGAAGGCAUGGUAGGAAAAUUAGCAUCAUCCUAUCUCUUGGCAAGAUGCCACCGCUUCGACAAGGUCCUAGAAGACGACAAUGAAGAGCAAGAAGAGGACGUAUUCAAAAUUUAGUAUUUAGGCAUUUUUGUAUUUACUUUAUUUUAUUCUCUGGAAUAUUAAAACAAUUCAAAUGGAAUAAAGUUUGUUUUGGGGUUUUAUCUUGAGCAAAUGGCAUUAUUUUAUAACAUAAUUAUCUCUCAAACAAUGAUAGGCCUACCUCUGGCUCAAAGAGGCUUUCUUCGUAGGACACGUCAAACAAUGUGCUAUGUGUUAAUCCUGUUCAUUCUCUUAUCACUAACACACUAACUUUUUCACCUUUUUGUUUAUUUUGUUUUCCCCCUACCCAUAGGUUGAGUUGUGCAUUCUGGCCUAUCAUACUAGAUCAAAAAGGCUCCUCCUUCUCCUCCUCCUUUACCUACAAGCUCCAAAGAAAAAAAAGUAAUGGGUGAUUGUCACAUCAUUGGGGAAAAAGAAGGUACUAGUUUAGAAGGGGAUAGAAUUAUUGGUCAGAACCAGGUGAUAAUGAAAAUGGAACAGAGGAUCCCGGAACUGCAAGCAGAAUUGGCGCAAGUGUGCAAUUUGGCUACACUCUCCCUCAACCUAAAUACUCUAGAAUUGCAAGCCGAUAGCUUUGCCAUCCCGAAAUCCCAAGAUUCCUCAGACCAUCCAAUACCCCAUCUUGAACUACAAAACCCUACCAACAUCCAAAAUAUCCAAAAUACCACAGCUCUACUUUAUAUGCCCACCCAAGAACCAAGGAACUCCGCUUAUCCAUCUCCUUAAAAGCCUCCGCAUCCAAACAUAUACCAUUACCACGCUUCCGGAAUCAACAAUCUGAACCCCAUCUAUGUUAAAACACUUCCACUUGACCAUCCUCAACCCACUUUCGAGAACCCUAAAAAUAACUAUACCAUCCAAGCUAUAGUCGAAAGGUUGAGACAUUUGGAGGGAAACAAAGCCAUGAAGGGUCUCAAUUACGAAGACUUGUGCAUCCACCCCAAUGUCAAACUACCGGGGAGGUACAAACCUCCCAAGUUCGAGUUAUACGAUGGGACUGGAGAUCCUAAAGCUCAUCUACAUGUGUACUGUAACAAGAUUUCGGGUGUAGGGAAGAACGAGAAAAUUUGGAUGAAGAUAUUCAUGAGAAGCCUCACAGGGGAGGCUCUUACAUGGUAUCUUGAGCAGGAUAUGAAAAAAUGGGUAGACUAGCUUGACUUGGCAUCUAGCUUCGUUGAUCAAUUCUAGUACAAUAUCGACAAUUCUCCGAGUUGGACUUACAUGUAGGCCAUGAGGAUAAAGCCUAAUGAAUCCUUCCGCAAAUACUCCAUGAGAUGGAGGGCCGAGGCUGCAAGAGCUUGGCCUUCAGUUGAAGAGCAAAAGAUGAAAGAAUAUUUUGUCAAGGCACAAGAGCCACAGUACCUUGACAAGCUGUAACAUUCACAGACAAGAGCUUCUCCAAAAUCAUCAAAAUCGGAGAAAUAUUUGAAGAGUGUCUUAAAAAUGGUAGCAUUAUCCUCUUGAACACACAACCUACAGGAAUAGAAGAAAAUAAGAUGAAAAAAGAGAUAGGGUCGGUGAUGGUGGCCCAACCUUCCAAGAACGCCUCGAGCCAUACAACCCCAGCUCCGUCUCCCUUAUCCUACCUAUAAAUGCCCUAUACUACUCCCCACCCACCACAAACUCCAAUUCAAUAUCAAACCCCACUAUACCAAAUGCCUCAACCUUACCAAAUACCUCAGCAAUUAUCAAACCCCUCCUACCCCAUAUAUAAUGCCCAACCUAUACAAGUCCAAACCUCCCAACCCACUCAUGUCCCUACUGCUAGGCCUGGAGCCACUAAGCCCAAGAGAAAUAUUAAGAGAAGAUGGUACACUGCUUCAGCUGAGCCAAUGGCUCAACUCUAUGAAAGGCUCAAGAAGGUGGGUUAUAUCACAACCAUUACAGUCGUACAAGUUGACAUAAAAUCCCCACAGUACCGACAUGAUCAGACAUGCGCCUACAACUUUGGAAUGAGGGGACAUCCUAUAGAGGCGUGCUACACCUUGAAGAACAAAUUCUAACAACUGAUUGAUACCAAGGCGAUCCAAUUAAAGGACCCAGAACCCAAUGUUACCAAUAAUCUUCUCCUUGCUUAUGAGGUGAAUAUGCUCGAGGUCGAUGAUGAUGUAGACUUAGAGAACUCUAUUUGGGUUAUUGAGUAAGGGAACAGAACCCCUAUCACGGUAUGGAGACAAGUUCCCUUUGAGGUUGAGGUUGCUACACCCAAAGCUCCUUUCACUGUAGUAAGAGAUACUCCAGUUGUAACCAAUCCUCAUGCAGUACCAUGGGAUUAUGACAUCAAUGUUCCAAGGAAGGCAAAGGUAGCCGAAAUAGACGUUGCGCAAGGUGUCACCAGAUCAGGCAGAAUAUACACUCCUGAAAAUUGGCUUCAAGGAAGCUCUAGAAAAGGAAAGCAACCUGCUAUUGUGGUUAAAGAUGGCAUCUGGAAAAGGGUACAUGUAAAGGAGUAUUCCAUGGCCGAACAGCUAGUAAGACUCCGGCCCAGAUUUCAAUAUUGGCAUUGCUCCAAACUUUGGAAAACCACCAAAAGGCCUUGAUGAGGGUCUUAGGUGAAGCUUAUGUGCCGGUUACCACUAUAGAAGGAGAUAUGGCCCAUAUGGUAGGGCAAGUAUUUGAGGCUUACAAGAUUUUGUUUCAUGUGACAAAUUGCCGCCUGAAGAAAGAGCGCACAAUCGGGCUCUACAUGUCACACUACAGUACGAGAGAAAGAUGACAUCCCGUGUUCUGAUUAAUCCAAUCUGGGAUUGAAUAGCUGCCCUUUGAACACCUUGACUAGAUUGAAGAUUGAUAUGUCCAAGGUGCAAAUGUGGAAAAUAAACGUGAAGAGGUUUGAUGGCUCUUAAAGGGCACAAUUGGAGAAAUUACAUUGGACGUGAUGAUGGGUCCAGUCCCUUUCUCCAUACCCUUCCAGGUGAUGGACAUUCCUGCAUCUUAUAACUUGCUACUCGGACAUCCUUGGCUUUAUGCAGCUGGUGUCAUAUCCUCCACGCUUCAUCAGUGCCUCAAGUUUGAAUACGAUCAUCAAGAGGUUGUGAUACACGGGGAGAAGGGACAUCCAAUAUACAUCGUCAAAGGAAAAAAAUACCUUGAUGGAGAAAUGAUCCAUACUCUUAAAUUGGUAAGAAGCAUUGAAGGGGGGCAGCACAACGACGCUUUAUUUAUCACCGUACAAUAUGAAGAAAAGAAAAUUUCAUGAGUACUGAUUGAUCCUGUACCUGGGGUAAAUAUUUGCCCCUGGCUACCUUGACGCAUUUUGAAAAUGAUUAGACUAGGAUUCAUCCCCGAGUAAGGGUCAUAAGGGCAUAUGAUGGCUCACAGCAAAAACACUAUCGGGGAGAUCAUGCUAAACGUCUAUUAGGCCCUGCCUCAUUCCCUAUACUCUUUCGGGUAUUGGAUAUUCCCGCCUCAUAUAAUCUGCAGCUUGGUCGACCUUAGAUCCAUAUGGCUAGUGCAGUCCCGUCCCCCCUACACUGAUGCAUUCAAUUCGAGUACUUUCAACAAGAAGUACUAAUCUGGGGUGAAAGAGGGCAAGGAGGGCUCAAUACUUUACAAUAGAUUGGGAACAUUGAAGAAGACACCAUAAGUUGCAUGUAACUUGAGAAACCCUUGAACGCUUGGAGUUACAUGCGUUGGUUUUGGUAUGAAGAGGACAAAGUUCUUGGCGCCAGAUUGCAAGGGAUAAUUGAUCCUUUAGUAGUUAUCAAAAGGGAACAUGAUUGCGAGCUAGGCUAUAAAGGAAAAAACACACCCGACCUUGUAUUGUCACUAUACCAAAUCUUUAUUUCUGUAGUAUUUCGUGAAAAUGACGAUGUCAUUAAAAUAACAGAGAUGCUUAAAAGGCUCACCCUAAUCGAGGACAUCACCUUCUUUUAUGAAGACCUAGAUGAUAUUGAAACUAAAGAGGCAGACAUGAUCGAUGAUGAUAUCGUGGGGGUAGAUAUGACUUGGAUGAACAUAGGGGGAAAGAUGAUGAAAGGGUAUGAACCUGGUAAUGGUUUGAGAGCAAAAUUGCAAGGAAUCAUCGAACCUAUACAGCCAAAGUUUAAGAAGGACACAUUUGGCCUGGGGUACAAAUACACUACGGAAGAGUACCUCGACUGGGAGUCACCUUUAGGCCGCUACUGCCCUCUACCAAAUCUACUGCCUACACAACAUAAAACCUUUCGUUCAGCUGGUUUUCCAGACAAUUUGGAAGAAGACAUCUUGAAGAGCUUAAGUUUUUUUUUCUGACGGAGGAAGACGGUUGCCAUGUCAUUAUUAGUGAAGAGGGAGGAGCCCCUAGCCCAAUCAACGAACAAAAGGUCGUUGCCAGUAGUUGGACUAUCACUCCUUCCAGGCUACGCCGUGCACUUGGGUAGACAUGAUAAAGAUUAAUGUUUUAGCAUUCAUUUUUUUUUAAUAAACUCAAUUAGUCAAGACGUUUUGAAGUUUUUAGUUCCUUAUUUUCAUUUCAACACUAUGUUUCAUGACAUUCACUUUAUCAAUAAAAUUUUACUUUUUGAUUAUUAAUGUUCUUUAUUUAUCUUUUCUUUCAGCAAACUCACAUUUAAAAUUGUUGAAUCUGAGAUUGUGACGUCUAAUGAGACAAUACAACAUAAUAUAAGUGAAGUUGCUGAUACAGAGGACUUGGAGAUUCCCCAGGAAUUUGUGAAUGUAAAAGAAACCCACAUCAGCGUUCACUUAUCAAAAGAAGAGAAGGAAGAAUACAUCCAGUUCCUAAAAAAUCAUCCAGAUGUGUUUACUUGGUCUUAUGCCGACAUGACAGGACUAAGCACUUCAAUAGUGGCUCAUAGACUACCUACAGAACCCUCUUAUUCGCCGAUCAAAUAGAAACUCAGAAAAUACAAGCCUGAUUUGAGUUUGAAAAUCAAAGAGGAGAUCUCAAAAUAGAUCACAAUCGGUAUUCUUUGAGUGACGAAGUAUCCAACCUGGUUGGCCAAUGUCGUACCUAUCCCCAAGAAAGAUGGGAAAGUUAGGAUUUAUGUAGACUACAAGGAUCUCAACAAAGCUAGUCCCAAAGAUGACUUCCCACUCCCGAAUAUUCAUAUCUUGAUUGAAAAUUGUGCCAAGCAUAAAACACAGUCAUUCGUGGACUGCUUCAUCGGUUAUCACCAGAUCAAGAUGCACGAAGACGAUGCAAAAAAGAAUGUCUUUAUUACUUCAUGGGGAGUGUAAUGCUACAAAUUCAUGUCGUUUGGUCGAAAAAACACUUGAGCUACCUACAUGAGGGCCAUGACCACUUUAUUUCAUGACACGAUCCACAAGGAGAUUGAAGUUUAUAUGGAUAACGUCAUCAUCAAAUCAAGAAAAGGUACAUGUCAUUUGGCAGAUUUAGAAAAAUUCUUUGACAGGUUUAGGAAGUACAAUUUGAAGUUAAACCCGCGAAGUGCAUCUUUGGAGUCCCCGUAGGAAAUUAUUGGGCUUCAUCGUCAGUCGUAGGGGCAUAGAACUAGACCCUGCCAAGAUCAAGGCCAUCCAAGAUCUUCCUCCUCCUAAAAACAAGAAGGAUGUCAUGAGCUUCUUGGGUCACCUCAACUAUAUUAGCCGGUUCAUAGCCCAAUUUACGGUCAUUUGUAAACCAAUUUUCAAGCUGCUAAAGAAGGAUGCUGCUGUAGAAUGGACAAUAGAGUGCCAACAAGCAUUCAAAAAGAUCAAGGAUUAUCUGUCAAAUCCUCCCAUUUUGGUUCCUCCUUAACCUGGUAGGCCGCUGCUAUUGUACCUAUUUGUGACCGACAAUGCCUUCGGAUGCAUUUUGGGAUAGCAUGACGAGAUAGGCAAGAAAGAACAGGCCAUCUACUACAUGAGCAAGAAGUUCACUUCCUAUGUGGCACGAUAUUCUCUUUUGGAGUGCACCUGUUGUGCUCUAACUUGGGUGGCUCAAAAGUUAAGGCACUAUCUCUUAGCGCAUACUACUUACCUAAUCUCUAGAAUGGAACCACUGAAAUACAUCUUCCAGAAGUCGAUGCCUACUGGAAAGUUGGCCAAAUGACAGAUACUGUUGAGUGAAUUUGACAUAGUCUAUGUCACCCAAAAGGAGGUAAAAGCACAAGCACUAGCAGAUCAUCUGGCCGAGAAUCCCGUAGACGACGAGUACCAACCAUUGAAAACUUACUUUCUUGAUGAGGAGGUGGCAUUCGUAGGAGAGGACAUCUCUGAUGAAUACGACGGUUGAAGACUAUUAUUUGAUGGAGCUACAAAUUUUAAAGGAGUUAGAAUUGGCGUUGUUGUGAUCUUCGAAACUAGUCAACACUAUUCUGUGUUGACCAAGCUCAGAUUUCUUUGCACUAACAACAUGGCCGAAUAUGAAGCCUACAUCUUAGGACUUCGAUUGGCUAUUGACUUGAACUUCCAAGAGAUAUUGGUGAUUGGAGAUUCAGAAUUAUUGAUCCAUCAGGUACGAGGUGAGUGGGCUAAUAAAAACACAAAACUCCUACCCUAUCUAGAGUGUGUACAAGAGAUGUACAAGAAGUUCCACAAGAUAGAGUUCAAACAUAUCUCGAGGAUCCAGAAAAAGUUUACAAAUAUUUUGGCCACUUUGUCUUCCAUGAUCCAAUGUCUAGACAAGAAUUACAUUGAUCCUAUUCCCAUUCAUGUACAUGAACGGCCCACGUAUUGCUUCCAUGUUGAAGAGGAAUCAAACAAAAAACUAUGGUAUACAGACAUACAAAGGUAUUUGAAAAAUGGAGACUAUCCUAAGAAUACGACAAGUGUUCACAAACGUACCACUCGGAGGCUAGCCAACCAAUUCUUCCUAAAUAGAGAAAUCCUAUACAGGAGGACUCCUGAUUUAGGAUUACUAAGAUGUGUCGAGGCCGAAAAGGCAUCUAGGCUGAUUGAAAAGUACAUGCUGGAACAUAUGGUCCACAUAUGAAUGGCUUCACGUUGGCUAAGAAGAUAUUAAGAUCAAGCUACUUCUGGCUGACCAUAGAAAUCGAUUGUAUCCGCUAUGUGCAGAAAUGCCGCCAGUGUCAAACUCAUGAUGAUAUAAUUCGAGUUCCUCCCAACAAACUCCAGGUCACCAACUCUCCUUGCCUCUUCGUAGCUUGGGGCGUGGAUAUCAUUGGUCCCAUUGAGCCGACAACGUCCAAUGGUCACAGAUUCAUCCUUAUUGCAAUUGACUACUUCACCAAGUGGGUAGAAGCCACCUCUCACAAAUCAGUCACAAAGAAGGUCAUAGACGACUUCGUUCUAAAAAACAUCAUUUGCCAAUUUGGAAUUCCCGAAUCCAUCAUCACUGCCAACAGUUACAAUAUCAACAGCGACCUGAUGAAAGCCACAUGUGAGAAAUUCAAGAUCAAGCAUCAAAAUUCCACAGCUUACAGGCCACAAAUGAACGAAGCAGCUGAGGCAGCAAAUAAGAACAUCAAAAGAAUCCUGUGUAAGAUGAUUGACAACAGUCGACAUUGGUAUGAAAAGCUACCCUACGCAUUGCUAGGGUACCGUACCACCAUCAAAAUGUCCACAGGUGACAUGCCUUACUUUCUGGUUUAUGGAAAUAAAGCAGUGAUACCAGCUGAGGUCAUAAUACCAUCUCUAAGAAUCAUCCAGGAAGCAGAAUUGAGUGACACUGAAUGGAUACAAAAUAGAUUCGAGCAACUGGCUCUCAUUGAUGAAAGAUGAAUAAAUGCAGUUUGCCAUGGUCAACUCUAUUAGAACAGAAUGACCAAAACUUUCAACAAAAAGGUCAGGCCAAGACACUUCGCGCCAGGACAACUAGUUUUGAAGCAAAUUUUUCCACAUCAAGAUGAGACAAAAGGCAAAUUCUUGCCUAAUUGGUAAGGCCUUUAAGUGGUUUAUCGAAUCCUGACAGGAGGCGCACUUAUACUUGCAGAAAUGGAUGGCAUGGUUUGGUCUAAGCCUAUCAAUUCAGACGAUGUUAAGAGAUAUUAUGUUUAAUUUUAUCUUUAUUCCCCUUGAAUUGUAUUUGGAACUACGUAGGACCUGAUUCCCGUUUAAGACUGAUACGUAGGCGCUCCUGUGGAGUUCGGUCACUUCAUAAUAAAAUAUUUUAUUCCCCUCUCUUAGAAUAUGAUAACUGGGGCAGAAUUUUUAAGAGGGCCUCAAAAAUUCCACGUGGACAUGAUGUCGGCAUAAAUUGCAAACUGGGGCAAAAUUUUUGAGACGACCUCAAAAAUUUUAUGAGCAAGACGCUGGAAUUCUCGUAACAAGAAUAGUUCUAUAUUGGGGCAGAAAUUUUUUAACGUACCUCAAAAUUUUUGGGCAAGAGAACAAGGAUCUGCAAGAUGUUGUACCGUCUCAAAACAUGUCACAAUCAACGAUUCAACAAAAUUUUUAUGUUUAUUCUAACAAAUUUUACUUACUACUCUUAAAAGACAAAUUUUCUUUUCAAAACAUGAUUUUCUUUUCAAAGAUGAUUUUCCUUUUACUGUCCAUCUACCCAAAUGAAGGCAGAGAAAAAGUUCAUCAACAAGGUGACGACAUCAUGAGGAGAAUACUUCAGUCAAGGAAAAAGCACAAAUCAACCUCCCUUUUUUACAAACUCACAUUUUUUCUUUGAUACAGGAUUAACAAGUACAGAUAACAACAAUCAUUCCACCACGAAGGAGCAAUAGACAAUCAAACAUCAUGGCAAGGAACUUCACGAUCAAUUCAACUGUGAGACAGCUACACUUUCUUAUCUUUUAUUAUCUUUACUGUUACAUUUGUUUGCUACAAUCCCCUACGUACACACAUAUAUUCUUACUAAUUAUUUCUACUGAGUCAAGCUACAAGUGGCAGGUACGGGCCAUGAUUCGACAAUGGAGAAGCUUAAAUGUCGAUCCGAUAAUGGAGAAGCUUCAAUACCGAUCCGACGAUGGAAAAGCUCCAAGGCCGAUCCAACGAUGGAGAAGCUCCAAUGCUGCUCCGAUGAUGGAGAGGCCAAAAUGCUGAACCGACAAUGGAGAAGCUCAAAUGCCGACCCAAUAAUGGAGAAGCUUCAAUGCCAAUCCGAUGAUGGAAAAUCUCCAAGGCCGAUCUGAUGAUGGAGAAGCUCCAAUGCUGCUCCGAUGAUGGGGAGGCCAAAAUGCUGAACCGACGAUGAAAAAGCCCAAAUGUUAAUCCGACAAUAGAGAGGCUCCAAUGCUGAUCCGAAGAUAGGGAAGCCCAAGUGCUGAACCGACGAUAAAGAAGCUAAAAUGUUGAUCCGACGAUAGAAGCCAAGACGCUGAUUAUAAAAUAGAUACACUUUCUUUAUCUUCACAAUUAUGUUACGUUUAUUAAAUGUUCAUUUUUUACA